GACUGCGUAGCACAGCGGUAGUUGCGAAAGAUUGCAAAUCUUUAGGUCCCGUGUUCGAAUCACGGCGUGGUCU